GCCUGGAUGGCUCAGUGGGUUAAGUGUCUGACUUCAGCUCACGUCAUGAUCUCAUGGUUUGUGGGUUCAAGCCCCAUGUCAGGCU
rnacentral:tRNA from 1 species